AUACAAUGCGCAUAGGGACUUGGU
rnacentral:siRNA from 1 species